rnacentral:rRNA from 1 species
CGUGGGGUAAAGAAACCAACAGGGAUUGCCCUAGUAACGGCGAGUGAAGCGGCAACAGCUCAAAUUUGAAAUCUGGCUCUUUUAGAGUCCGAGUUGUAAUUUGCAGAGGGCGCUUUGGCUUUGGCAGCGGUCCAAGUUCCUUGGAACAGGACGUCACAGAGGGUGAGAAUCCCGUACGUGGUCGCUGGCUAUUGCCGUGUAAAGCCCCUUCGACGAGUCGAGUUGUUUGGGAAUGCAGCUCUAAAUGGGAGGUACAUUUCUUCUAAAGCUAAAUAUUGGCCAGAGACCGAUAGCGCACAAGUAGAGUGAUCGAAAGAUGAAAAGCACUUUGGAAAGAGAGUCAAACAGCACGUGAAAUUGUUGAAAGGGAAGCGCUUGCAGCCAGACUUGCUUACAGUUGCUCAUCCGGGUUUUUACCCGGUGCACUCUUCUGUAGGCAGGCCAGCAUCAGUUUGGGCGGUAGGAUAAAGGUCUCUGUCACGUACCUCCUUUCGGGGAGGCCUUAUAGGGGAGACGACAUACUACCAGCCUGGACUGAGGUCCGCGCAUCUGCUAGGAUGCUGGCGUAAUGGCUGUAAGCGGCCCGUCUUGAAACACGGACCAAGGAGUCUAACAUCUAUGCGAGUGUUUGGGUGUCAAGCCCGAGCGCGUAAUGAAAGUGAACGGAGGUGGGAACCCGCAAGGGUGCACCAUCGACCGAUCCUGAUGUCUUCGGAAGGAUUUGAGUAAGAGCAUGGCUGUUGGGACCCGAAAGAUGGUGAACUAUGCUUGAAUAGGGUGAAGCCAGAGGAAACUCUGGUGGAGCUCGCAGCGGUUCUGACGUGCAAAUCGAUCGUCAAAUUUGGGCAUAGGGGCGAAAGACUAAUCGAACUAUCUAGUAGCUGGUCUGCGACAUUCCCCCCCGAAAAACAGGAAGAAAAUCUCCUUUUAGGUUGUUGGAUCUCUCUCCCCCCCCCUCACACAUGUGAGAAGAAUUUCAGCCAAACCCUCCGGGCCUCCCCCAAAGUUCCUUGGCUCACCUAAUCAGGCAAAGAUUACCAAUCUUGUCGGGGUCCACCAGGCAGGCCUUUACCUCAAUCCAUCAAAAACAUCAGGAUGGGUCGAAUGGUGACACUUGCUGGGUUCACUCUUCAUUUCUUACGCGUGUGAGCUGAACCACACCUGCAGAGAUUUGAGAACCUGGUCGGAUUUCAGAGAGGG